rnacentral:lncRNA from 1 species
UGGAUUGCACUUGUUGCAUGCUUGCGCCAAGUUAGUUAACAUUCGUCUGGUGCUUUCUUAAUUUGGUUUCGAAAGUUAAUGUGAAAUAAAAUCGAAUAUCUCCGUUGUUUCUCUAGAAACCAGCUGGUGAGCUCUUGUUGAUGGAGUUGACUACAAAUGCAAUGCAGUCAGUGGUAGCCUCCUUUUAUAUAUGUCUCUCUGAUGAAAUAUAUGUGCAUGAUGCAUGCAUGCUUGGAAACCAUUGGAAAAAGAGCAUUCAACUAAUAAUAUAUGAACCAAAUGAUUCAAGGUACGUAGUGCACUUAAUUUGUUGUUGGUUUGUGAAUCUGUACGUGUAGGUUUUUCAGAGGGCGAAGCCCGUCAUCAUCGAUCGUUCAUCGACYCGKRGCUCUACAUGCAGGCAGAUUCUGGUUGAUCCAUUGGACCUGAGCUCAUGUUAGUCUGGUAGUUUGACUAUAUAUUUACAUAUUCUAGCGCUAGCAUGGAAAUGAAUCUAGGAUUUUCCAUGCAUCCGGUUGGCUCCUGCUAAUUCCUGUUUUGCCAAUUGAAGGAAUUUGAUAUUACAAGUUUAUUAGUGGAU